UCAGUUUGGACUCAUUCGAAUAAAAUUCCCUGCUGUUGGUGUCCCCCCCCUCCAAAAUACCACACAGAGACCAAGGACAUUGGCCUCCUGUAAGGUGAAGGAUAAAGAUACCAGGAGAACUGGGCCCUUUAAAAUUCACCCAGAAGUUGCAGGAUGCCCAAGCCAUAUGGAUCUGCAGUUUCCUGUGCCUCCAGAAAAAUCAAUGUGAGAUGCUGUGAGCCUGAGGAGUUAUAUCCUAGAAAGCUGUGAAGAAGAGUAAGGCCAAGCUGCACCAAACACACCUCUGUACCACAUGACUCAUGUCUUCAGAUGUCUGGCCUUCAGGAAGCCAGGAAUGCUGAGCUCACCAAGCCCUGCACACUGCUGUGAACUCCAGACCUCUGCAAACCUAUCUGUAAAGUGACUUGCCAACUCAAAUGCUGAUUAAAUAGCAACAGUGGCCAUUAAUGAACAAUGUAACCCUCAGUAUAUCUGCACACUUUUGAACGAACAAUGUGCAACUGCAACAGCCACAGAUUCGUCCUCCCAUGUGUCCCAAACUGUUUGGGAGGAUGUUUCUUGCCAUCAGACUCAACAAUGCCACAGCACCCAGGACUUCCCACCUCCACUGACUGAGACGAUCACUCACAGUUUAAUUGUCACCAUCAGAUACCAUCAUAAGCAUUGUACAUGUGUAUACACACAUAUCUAUUGUAUCUAUUAUUCCUGUUUUCUAUAGGUGUUUAUGGAAAUUUCUUUGAUGUUGUGUACAUUCACCUGUACUGUGAUGUUGGGAUGCUGAUGUUUUGAAGUAGGUGUUCAGUCCAUAAAUAAUGUUUCAUGAGUGCAUUUAAAGUCUGUAUUGGUAUCUGAAUUACAUGUUUGCUCCCGUGUUGGAUAUCAAGUAAAAUCAUUGCUUUUUUCCUAAUUUUGUUGGUUGUUUUGUUUUUCCAUCAUCAUGCUGUUUUAGACA